rnacentral:rRNA from 1 species
CCUGGUAACUGGCGCUAAGUCGUAACAAGGUAGCCGUACCGGAAGGUGCGGCUGGAUCACCUCCUUU